rnacentral:lncRNA from 1 species
UAGCUUCUUUUACGCUGAUAUUUAGAAAUAUCUAUAAUUUCCCUCUCUAUUGAUGAGGAAUACUGAGAGAGGGGGACUAGAAAGAUGAUGACACAGGAAACAGUUGAUGUAAGGGUCUGAGUUCAAGGUCACAACUUCCUUCUUGUUUAUCUCUGCCAGACAGCCCUAAUGGAGUCUGACCUAACAGAUGUUUGGUUGGAAUACAAGACCAGGUUGAUCUGUUUCGCUCUGGGAACAACACAGCCACAGCCCUUCUUCACCACCUAGAGAGCUGGUACUCAGUCUCCAUCUACUGAUGAACCUGUCUCACUGUUGCUGGCCUGGGCCUCUGGAUACAGAGAUUGAUCAGCCUGGAAUAUGAAGAAAUCUACACCAAAAAUGGAUGUCUGUGUUCUGUCUUGUUCCAGCUCUGACCUGGUAUUGGUCCUAAGGCAGAAGAAGAGGAAACUGAGACUUAAGAAAGUAUAAGCAACUUUGGAAACCCAAGAAAUACAUCUUUGAUAUAUGUCCAGAAUAGAUCUCAUCCUAAGAAGACAACUUAAAGACAUUAGAGCUUCUAAAUGGAC